GCUUGCUGGGGGGAUUAGUGGCGAACGGGUGAGUAACACGUGAGUAACCUGCCCUUGACUCUGGGAUAAGCCUGGGAAACUGGGUCUAAUACCGGAUAUGACUCCUCAUCGCAUGGUGGGGGGUGGAAAGCUUUUGUGGUUUUGGAUGGACUCGCGGCCUAUCAGCUUGUUGGUGGGGUAAUGGCCUACCAAGGCGACGACGGGUAGCCGGCCUGAGAGGGUGACCGGCCACACUGGGACUGAGACACGGCCCAGACUCCUACGGGAGGCAGCAGUGGGGAAUAUUGCACAAUGGGCGGAAGCCUGAUGCAGCGACGCCGCGUGAGGGAUGACGGCCUUCGGGUUGUAAACCUCUUUCAGUAGGGAAGAAGCCGCGAGGUGACGGUACCUGCAGAAGAAGCGCCGGCUAACUACGUGCCAGCAGCCGCGGUAAUACGUAGGGCGCAAGCGUUAUCCGGAAUUAUUGGGCGUAAAGAGCUCGUAGGCGGUUUGUCGCGUCUGCUGUGAAAGACCGGGGCUCAACUCCGGUUCUGCAG
rnacentral:rRNA from 1 species